rnacentral:lncRNA from 1 species
UCAAAGUAUGACAUCUUUUCUGCUCUACGUCCUUAUUUUUGACAUAUUCUGUGCUAUGUAAACUUACAAAUUGAAAAUAGCGGUAAAUAACAAUUUUAUUUUUUCUUAUGACAAGUGAAUCCGCAGCGCUGCACCACCCGCCCAGGUUAAAUUCCCACUGAUGUGUCGACUAAUUCUACAUCCAACCUUUUCGGCAAACAGGAAGCGUCUUCAUUUCUCUGCAAUAUUUACAAGAGCCAGUCAACAGUGUUCUGCAGAAGAUUUAGUACCUUGGAAGUUACCAACCACCUUAAGAACCCAGGAUACAUGGAAGUUUUCUGUAUGACCUCUUCUAUGCUAAGAUACAAUUCCAAGACAUGUACUUAUUCUAGCUUUUUUCGAAUGUCUAUGUUGUCUGAAGUUUCUACAAUAGGGUAACUCUUUUCCCACCAGUGACAUGUCUGACUAAUUGUACUCCCAACCUUUACUGCAAACAGGAAGUGAUCUUCAUUCCUCUGCAAUUUUUACUAGAGCCAUUCAACGGUGUUUUGCCGAAGAUUUAGUACCUUGAAGGUUACCAACCACCUGAAGAACCCAGGAUACAUGAGAAGUCUUCUGUGUGACAUCUUCUAUGCGAGGAAAUCACAAGUUAUUGCAGUUGGUGGUAGCACCUCCUGGUUUGGGAAACUCGAGGUGAUUGCACCAUGAGUUCGUUUUGAAUGUGUCAACGAAAAAUGAACUUUGGCUAUAUGUACUCUUCUGGCUGGGUGUCAAUCGUCAUGUUCAGAUGAACCUGUUGACAACCUCUUUUUAAUUUAAAUUGGAGCCAAAGUAGUAACAGUGUUCUUGGAACAAAAAAAGUACGAAAAGAUGAAAAAUAGUAUCAUUUAUUCAUAUGAAGUUUCAAAUAUAUCAUAAAGAAGCAUGUGUAGAGAACUUACUUAGUCCAAU